rnacentral:lncRNA from 1 species
AUGUGGCAACGGCUUCUUCUGAUGGCCACCUUACUCUUUGCUCCACUUCCAGUAAAUUCUAUAAAAGAGCUUCCAGGAGUGAAAAACUAUGAAGUGGUUUAUCCUAAAAGACUUCAUCCACGACAUAAAAGAGAGGUCAAGGAUCCAGGUCAACAGGAAAAUUUUGAAACUGAAUUGAAGUAUGAAAUGACAGUUAAUGGGAAAAUCGCAGUGCUUUACUUGAAAAAAAACAAGAAUCUCCUCGCACCAGGCUACACAGAAACAUAUUAUAAUUCCAGUGGAAAGGCAGUCACCACGAGCCCACAGAUCAUGGAUAACUGUUAUUAUCAAGGACACAUUGUUAAUGAAAAAGUUUCUGAUGCUAGCAUUAGCACAUGCAGAGGUCUAAGGGGUUACUUCAGUCAGGGAGAUCAAAAGUACUUCAUAAAACCUUUAAGCCUCACAAACCAAGAUGAGCAAGAACACGCACUCUUCAAGCACAAUCCUGAAGAACAGAAGACUAAUAGCUCCUGUGGGAUGAACGACACAAUAUGGGCACCUGGAAUUCAUCUGAAGGCAAUCUCAUCUACCAGUCUGGCUACAUCCAAAGACCAAAAGGCUUGGGAAAAAAAGAAAUAUGUAGAAUAUUAUUUGGUCCUGGACCAUGGUGAGUUUAAAAGGCACAAUCAAGAUCAAGAGGAAAUAAGAAAGAUGGUAUUUGAGAUGGUCAAUUACAUCAACAUGCUUUAUAAAAAGCUCAAUACUUACGUGGCCUUAAUUGGGAUGGAGAUCUGGAAUGACAAAGACAAGAUAGAUAUAUCUUCCAAAGCAAGCCUCACUUUAGAAAAUUUUGCUAAAUGGAGGACAGCUGUCCUCCUGAAGAGAAAGCACCAUGAUGUUGCUCAGCUACUCACGACAGUAGCGUUUUCUGGAACAACUGUGGGCCUUGCUUACCUGUCUACAAUGUGCUCUCCUGAUUUUUCUGCUGGCGUCAUUAUGGAUCACAGUGACAACGCACUUCAGGUUGCAGGAACCAUGGCCCAUGAAAUGGGCCAUAACUUCGGAAUGUUUCAUGACAACUACAAUUGCAAGUGCCCUUCUAUAGAAUGUGUGAUGGACGGAUCAUUAAGCAAAAAUAUACCUACAGCCUUCAGUUCCUGCAGCCGGGCCAGCUUUGAAAAAUUCUUUGAAGAUAAAUUAUCCAAUUGCCUCUUUAAUGUUCCACUGCCUACAGAUAUCAUAUCCACCCCGAUCUGUGGGAACCAGUUGGUAGAAAUGGGAGAAGACUGUGAUUGUGGGACCCCUGAGGAAUGUACCAACAUUUGCUGUGAUGCAAAAACAUGUAAAGUGAAAGAAAAUGUUCAAUGUGCAUUCGGAGAAUGCUGUGAAAAAUGCCAGUUAAAAAAGGCUGGUGAGGUGUGCAGACCAGCAAAAGAUGAGUGUGACCUGCCUGAAAUGUGUGAUGGCAAAUCUACUCUUUGCCCCAGUGAUCGAUACCAAAUCAAUGGCUUCCCUUGCCAGGAUGGGAAAGGCUACUGCCGGAUGGGAACGUGCCCCACCCUGGAGCAGCAGUGCACUGACCUCUGGGGACCAGGUACGAGGACAAGCCCCUCUCUCUGUGUCCAUACACAGGAAAAUCAUUCCAAGUGA